UACACACCGCCCGUCACACCACGAAAGCCGCGUGUAUUUGAAGUCGCGUGGGCUAACCCGCAAGGGGGCAAGCGCCGAAGGUAUGCGACGGUGAUUGGGGUG
rnacentral:rRNA from 1 species